UGUUAAUUUAUUUAUUUAUUAUUUAAUGUUCUUUGUGGUAAAUGUUCAAUGUUUUGGGUUACGAGCUAUAGGGAAACACCAAUAUUGUAUAGCGUAGUCCCCCGUCAACAAACACAACAGAAUAUUGUCUCUUAAGAAAGGGCUCAGUGGGUGCAAGGGGGGUAUCCAGUGGGUGCAACUUAAGGGCAUGCUUCUACGAUGUUGGCGGUAUUGGGGGAUGACGGUUGAGGAGACCGAUGACGGAUCCUUUGAGGCAGGUUUGACCGCCGUGAAUCGGCCAUUUCAAUCCCGGUGUUCGUGCGAGAAAGUUGAGUGCUUUAGUGAAAGUUUUUAAAGUGAGCCAGCAGAAGACGGAAGAAGGAUUCCCGCAUCACCCUGCUGUUCGUUCAGGACCUUUUGAUUUCGUCCACAAAGCGUACGCGCCUCACACUCGCACGGGUCGGUCCAUGUACAGUAAGUGCGGAGGAGCCAGUACAUGCACCUAAUCGUAAAAGGACCUCCCGCUCUGGAUCUACGGAUCCAUAACCCGUAAAGGAGCGUUUCUCUCGGGCUGAAGCCCUAAUUAUCAAGGAGACCCUUCUCGGAACGACCGUUACGGUGAUCCCGUGGUCCGCCCGAUCGAGUCAACGAAGGAAGACACCGUAAACCUCGACACCAGCCUACGCCAUUGCUGGUCAGUACGCGCCAUCCGUCCGCCAUCGCUCAAGCCAGCCCGCGGUUUUCCACGGCCGCCAUUGCCACCCAAGAGCACUGGUCGAUGUUCCGUGCGCGGCGCUGAAGCGAGCGUGGCCAUCCGAGUGGUGCUAGCCCACCAAGGACCCGAGCCAACCGAAGCCGAAGCAGAAGUAGGAGAAGAAGCAGUGCAUCAACGGUACGUACCGCAGCAGUUCCAGAACCCCAGCAACCCCCCACAAUAGCCCAAAUAUCCCCCCCACAUCACACACACAGUAGUUUCCAUAGUUUUUAAUAAAUUUAGUCUUAAUUCCGUAUUUUUCUUUAGUUGUCUUUAAUAAAACCCAUCCCUUGAUAUUUCCCA